rnacentral:rRNA from 1 species
GUGAGGAAUUUUCCGCAAUGGGCGAAAGCCUGACGGAGCAAUGCCGCGUGAAGGAUGAAGGCCUAUGGGUUGUAAACUUCUUUUCUCAGAAAAGAAUUAUGACGGUAUCUGAGGAAUAAGCAUCGGCUAACUCUGUGCCAGCAGCCGCGGUAAGACAGAGGAUGCAAGCGUUAUCCGGAAUGAUUGGGCGUAAAGCGUCUGUAGGUUGUUUAAAAAGUAUUCUGUCAAAGAUUAGGGCUUAACCCUAGAUAGGCAGAAUAAACUUUUAAGCUAGAGGUUGGUAGAGGCAGAGGGAAUUCCCGGUGGAGCGGUGAAAUGCGUAGAUAUCGGGAGGAACACCAAAGGCGAAGGCACUCUGCUGGGCCAAUACUAACACUGAGAGACGAAAGCGAGGGGAGCAAAUGGGAUUAGAAACCCUUGUAGUCC